UAUGGUUUCAAGAACAAUACAUUUAUCACUUCAUUCACAAAGUGAACAAGAAGGCACAUUCAUGGAAGGUACCACUUCACAAUGAAAUCUCAAUGUGAAUGCCACAUAAAAACAAGACCACUGACAGUAUAAUGCAAGAAGCAAAGAUUAACAAUAUUGACAUAAUAUCAGUUAAAGGAAACAGGUUCAACCUCUUGGCUUGCUGAGGUAUUAGCAAGAUAUACAACCUACUGAUAACAUUAUAUUGUCACAAAUACAAUAUUGACAUGGUAAUCGGAGACCAUGAACAUGUGCAAUGAUACAAGGUAGGCAUUGCAGUGAAUGGAAGUAAAGUAGAUGUCAUAAAGAACAUGCCACAAUAAACAGAAUUCGUCUGGAAGAUGAUAAAAUUCAAACAAGCUGCAACCACUAUCAGGCCAACAUGUAAUUCAGGCAUGCAUGUAACCAGUAUCAGGCCAACAUGUAAUUCAGGCAUGCAUGUAACCAGUAUCAGGCCAACAUGUAAUUCAGGCAUGCAUGUAACCAGUAUCAGGCCAACAUGUAAUUCAUAGAUGCAUGUAAUAAACAGUAUCAGGUGGCCGAUAUUAAACAACUAGCACAAACCAAUAAGAUCACUAGAUCAACAUUCAAAAAUAUGGAAGCAUAUACAAAUACAUGCAUUUCAAGAAAAAUAUACCAGAAGCAUACCUGAUGUGGCGUUGCCUGAUCAAGACACGGGCAUGGUGGAUGGACUUUGCCAUGCCAGCCUUGAAGACAAGAGUC